AGCAGCCGCGGUAAUUCCAGCUCCAAUAGCGUAUAUUAAAGUUGUUGCAGUUAAAAAGCUCGUAGUUGAAUUUCGGGAUCAGUACGCUGGUCAUGCCUUUGGUAUGCACUGGUGUCACUGGUUUCUCCCUUCUGAAGAUCCGUGAUGUCAUUAAUUUGGUGUCGCGGGGAAUCAGGACUGUUACUUUGAAAAAAUUAGAGUGUUUAAAGCAGGCUCACGCUUGAAUACAUUAGCAUGGAAUAAUGAAAUAGGACGUUUGACCCUAUUUUGUUGGUUUCUAGGAUCGACGUAAUGAUUAAUAGGGAUAGUUGGGGGCAUUAGUAUUCAAUUGUCAGAGGUGAAAUUCUUGGAUUUAUUGAAGACUAACUACUGCGAAAGCAUUUGCCAAGGAUGUUUUCAUUAAUCAAGAACGAAAGUUAGGGGAUCGAAGACGAUCAGAUACCGUCGUAGUCUUAACCAUAAACUAUGCCGACUAGGGAUCGGAUGAUGUUAAUUUUUAUAAUGACUCAUUCGGCGCCUU
rnacentral:misc_RNA from 1 species